UACAGAGGUCCCAAGCGUUGUUCGGAUUCACUGGGCGUAAAGGGUGCGUAGGUGGUUAGGUAAGUCUGAUGUGAAAUCUCUGGGCUCAACCCAGAAACUGCAUUGGAUACUAUCUAGCUAGAGGAGUGGAGGGGGGACUGGAAUACUUGGUGUAGCAGUGAAAUGCGUAGAUAUCAAGUGGAACACCAGUGGCGAAGGCGGCGUCCUGGACUGGUACUGACGCUCAGGAGCGAAAGCGUGGGGAGCGAUCCGG
rnacentral:rRNA from 1 species